rnacentral:rRNA from 1 species
UACGUAGGGGGCAAGCGUUGUCCGGAUUUAUUGGGCGUAAAGAGCGUGUAGGCGGCCUGAAAGGUCAGCUGUGAAAACUCGAGGCUCAACCUCGAGACGUCGGUUGAAACCAUCUGGCUAGAGUCCGGAAGAGGAGUGUGGAAUUCCCGGUGUAGCGGUGAAAUGCGCAGAUAUCGGGAAGAACACACGUGGCGAAAGCGGCUCACUGGACCAUAACUGACGCUGAUGCACGAAAGCUGGGGGAGCAAACAGG